rnacentral:rRNA from 1 species
AUUGAACGCUGGCGGCAGGCCUAACACAUGCAAGUCGAGCGGAUGAAGGGAGCUUGCUCCUGGAUUCAGCGGCGGACGGGUGAGUAAUGCCUAGGAAUCUGCCUGGUAGUGGGGGAUAGCGUCCGGAAACGGGCGCUAAUACCGCAUACGUCCUGAGGGAGAAAGUGGGGGAUCUUCGGACCUCACGCUAUCAGAUGAGCCUAGGUCGGAUUAGCUAGUUGGUGGGGUAAAGGCCUACCAAGGCGACGAUCCGUAACUGGUCUGAGAGGAUGAUCAGUCACACUGGAACUGAGACACGGUCCAGACUCCUACGGGAGGCAGCAGUGGGGAAUAUUGGACAAUGGUGAAAGCCUGAUCCAGCCAUGCCGCGUGUGUGAAGAAGGUCUUCGGAUUGUAAAGCACUUUAAGUUGGGAGGAAGGGCAGUAAGUUAAUACCUUGCUGUUUUGACGUUACCAACAGAAUAAGCACCGGCUAACUUCGUG